CGUUCCCUCGUGUAACGGUUUUAAAAAUAUUUAAAUUUUAAGUUGUAAAACUGCCACGGUCCACCCGAUAGAUUUAAAAAUUGCGAUACGUAGCUCGUACAUUCUUUCCGUACAGAGU